rnacentral:tRNA from 1 species
AUUUAUAUAGUUUAAUAAAAACAUUAUAUUUUCAAUAUAAAAUUAAUUUUCUAUUUAUAAAUU